GGAGGGGGUAUCCUUUUGGAGCCCUAACCGGUUCCGGUUCCCGGAAAAAUGGAACCGGGAACCGGAACGGGUCCUUUAAGAACCGGGAACCGAACCGGAACCUCCGAUUCGGUUCUCCGGUUCCCAGUUCUACCCGGGAAUUGCGCUCACCCCUAUGAAUCUUGUCCCCUGACUUGUAAGCAAAAUUAGGCAGGAAAGUUUCUCUCUGUAAUAGUCUUGGCUGCUGAAUUCCUUGACUUAAAAGAAUUAUCUCUCAAACUCAGCUGGGUGGAAAUAAGUGGUCAACAAUUUGAAACUGAAAGAUCCAUUGCCACCAAUAGAUUUGGGCUGUCAAUCAGUGCAUCGGCCAUGCUAUUUCAUGUGUUGAUUUACUACAAUACUUUUAUCUAUUCUGAUGUCUGCUUUGUCUGUUCCUUCAUCUUUCUUGAACAAAAUCAUAUCAUUUCUCUAUCCUUAAGACCCAGAGGUUCUUUGCAUUACUUGGAAAUCUUCAUUCAGUUCAGUUGUCCUUCUUAAAGAAAUGUUAGCUUGUUUUUUGAAUAGGUAUCAUAUACCAGAUAAUUGGCCCUACAGCGAAGCUUAACUGCUUUUCUACGGAAAAACAGCCUGAGAUAAAAUUGACUGCUCCAAACGGGGAGGUUGGCCAUUUUCAUGUUGGGAUUUACUUGCAACAUUUCACUUUUUGAAUUUUUCACUUGUUUCCUAACUAAUUGUUAUUUCCCUUUCAAGUGCUUAAUUUCCUUUCUCGUGAAUGAGAAUGGGUUCAAUAUUGACAGAGUGACGAAGGUAUGGCUUUUAUCUUCAGUAAUGUGUUGGUCAGUUGCCUACUGGAGGAAGUUGCUUCUUGUCCUCUGGAGGAGAGAGCAUACGUGUUUUCAAUGUUGUUUUACCAUGUGUGUCAGGCGAUAGAGAAGAUUAAGGCAGCUAAGGAUUAGUCAUCACAAGGCCGGUAACUAAAGCUUGAACAAAUGAAAGUGACUUCCAAAAUGCACUUUCUAUUAUCCAAUGAUUCCUUUCAUUUAUUCUCUACAGAUUAGAGUCCUUCUCUAAGCCAGCUUAGAAUCAAUCUGUUCCCUUCUAAGAGGAAGGGAGGCAAAUGCACACUUCAAUGCCCCAGUCUGGCAUUCAAGCCCAAGAUAUUCUCUACACAGGUAUCUGUAAAUCCCCAGCCCAGGGUCCUUGGCAGCUUUAAAGUGCCAACCAUGGUGCUGGGUUUGAGGAACUUCAAACAGCCGUUGAGAAUUGUUUGCGUCCCGAUGUGGAUCUAAAUAAUGGCGAAUGUAAGAACCCUAUUCACUGAGCAAGUCCUGACUUGUAGUUGCUGUUUUUGCCCGUAGUUGGAAGCAAGUUGAUGCUUUCCUUUCCAAAAAAAAGGGGGUCAUGUCUUAUGGUACUGCAAUAUUGGAAGAGAGUUGUAUAAAUUUUUAUUGGAAGGAUGAAGUUUGCCCUCUAUGCUAGAACAAGGGGUACUGCUUGUCGGGCAGAGUGCAUAUUAGUGUUCCUUUUACAGUGCGUAUUUGCUGUCCUAAGGAUUCCAUUUCUUCCAUGUAUUGUACAUUUUACGAUACUUAUAUAUCACUCAUACAAAUUUUAUAUUA